rnacentral:rRNA from 1 species
ACUCAAAUGAAUUGACGGGGACCCGCACAACCAGUGGAGCGUGUGGUUCAAUUUGAUACAAAGCAAAAAACCUCACCAGGGUUUGACAUGCUACCGUACAUUCUCCUAGAAACAGGAGGAAAUCCGCAAGGAUGGUAGCACAGGUGCUGCAUGGCUGUCGUCAGCUCGUGCCGUGAGGUGUUCCCUUAAGUGGGGAAACGAGUGCAACCCUUGUCCAAUGUUACAUUGAUCAUUGGAGACUGCCCUGUUUUACAGGGAGGAAGGAGAGGCAGAUGUCAAGUCAGCAUGGCCCUUAUACCCUGGGCUACACACACCCUACAAUGGCGAAUAACAACGAGUCGCAAGCCGGUAACGGCAAGCAAAUCUCUUAAAUUUCGCCUCAGUUCAGAUUGAGGUCUGCAAUUCGACCUCAUGAAGUCGGAAUUGGUAGUAAUCGCGGAUCAGCGGGCCGCGGUGAAUACGUUCUCGGGUCUUGUACACACCGCCCGU